UAGGGAAUCUUCCACAAUGGGCGAAAGCCUGAUGGAGCAACGCCGCGUGGGUGAAGAAGGUCUUCGGAUCGUAAAACCCUGUUGUUAGAGAAGAAAGUGCGUGAGAGUAACUGUUCACGUUUCGACGGUAUCUAACCAGAAAGCCACGGCUAACUACGUGCCAGCAGCCGCGGUAAUACGUAGGUGGCAAGCGUUAUCCGGAUUUAUUGGGCGUAAAGGGAACGCAGGCGGUCUUUUAAGUCUGAUGUGAAAGCCUUCGGCUUAACCGGAGUAGUGCAUUGGAAACUGGGAGACUUGAGUGCAGAAGAGGAGAGUGGAACUCCAUGUGUAGCGGUGAAAUGCGUAGAUAUAUGGAAGAACACCAGUGGCGAAAGCGGCUCUCUGGUCUGUAACUGACGCUCAGGUGCGAAAGCGUGGGGAGCAAACAGG
rnacentral:rRNA from 1 species